rnacentral:rRNA from 1 species
AAUGGGUGCACUUAUUAGAACAGAAGCCAACCAGUACAUGCAUUCUUUCGGGGGUGUAUGUGCUGUAGCACUUCUGGUGACUCUGGAUAAUUGUUACAGAUCGCAGUCGGCUUUAUGUCGGCGACGGGUCCUUCAAAUGUCUGCCCUAUCAACUUUCGAUGGUAGGUGACCUGCCUACCAUGGUGAUAACGGGUAACGGGGAAUCAGGGUUCGAUUCCGGAGAGGGAGCCUGAGAAACGGCUACCACUUCCAAGGGAGGCAGCAGGCGCGCAAAUUACCCACUCCCGGUACGGGGAGGUGGUGACGAAAAAUACCGAUGCGGGACUCAUUAACGAGGCUCCGUAAUCGGAAUGAGUGGACUCUAAAUCCUUUCACGAGGAUCAAUUGGAGGGCAAGUCUGGUGCCAGCAGCCGCGGUAACUCCAGCUCCAAUAGCGUAUAUUAAAGUUGCUGCAGUUAAAAAGCUCGUAGUUGGAUCUCGGUAGCAUUGUUGCCUGCUUAGUUGUCAUGCUCUGCGGCGUACAUCAUAUCGUGUGUGCUUGUAUUACCUAUGUUCAUAAGAGCUUGGGUGUAUGGGUACCACGGUGGGUGUACAUUAAAACCCUAGUGCAUUGAGCUGGCAUGGCGAUGGUGUCACCUUUGAGCCAUGUCUGUGGUGUAACAGCCACAGGUGUAAUCGAGUGUCGGGCAGUGCUCUGCACUAGUUGUGGAGCCUAGUCGGCUCGUUUGCAUGCCAAUGAAUGCCCUUCAAAAGGUGUUCAUGGGCGGAUGGCACGUUUACUUUGAACAAAUUUGAGUGCUCAAAUCAGGCCGAUGUCGCCUGAAAAGUUUUGCAUGGAAUAAUGGAAUAGGACUUCGGUUCUAUUUCGUUGGUUUUCGGAUCCGAAGUAAUGAUCAAAAGAGACAGGCGGGGACGUUUGUAUGGCUGCGCUAGAGGUGAAAUUCAUGGACCGUAGCCAGACAAACUAAAGCGAAAGCAUUCGUCAAGCAUGUUUUCAUUGGCCAUGAGCGAAAGUCA